GCGUCACUAGGCCCUUUUUAGGGGGGCUUCAGCCCCCCUAAACUUCUGCCCAGCCCCCCUAAAAAAAAUAUUUGAUUAAUAAAUUUUUGAUCGCUUCAGUCCCCUUUAAAAAAACUCAUUUGAAACGGCGGCAAGCUGCGUCAAGUUUCGGCUCCUCCCCUUAUCUGAGUCUGCUUGGAUUUAGCGCAUUUUUCAAUCUGCAGGGGCGCCGAGCAGAGCGAACAUCAGAGAGCACAAGGUGUGUGUCGUGUGUGCGUGCAUUUAUUGAUAGAUUGCUAAUGCUAUGAUAUUACAUCUGCAUCGGUGCAGUUCUUUGUCAUAAAUGCAUUGCAGUUUACAUAAUGUAAUGUUACUGGAGCAUUGGGAGCACACGGGACGGCUCGGUUUCUCAUCCAAUACCAAUACGUUUCGCUGCGUUCACCUUCAGCCCUUGUGUGAUAGUUGUUUUUUAUUCCUACAAAAAUUAAGUGAUUAACACCCAUGAAAACAUACUUUAGAUUCAGAAAACGAUCAUGAUUUAUUUUAAUUUACUUUUUACAAUUACAGACAUAUUAUAAUGUAUUUUGACAUUACAUUAUGCAGCCAUGCACAGAAAUGACACACAUCAUUGUCUGAAAGCACUAGAUGGCCCAGAGAGAGAAUGUGGAGUUAUUUUGUUUUGUAUUAUUAAAUAUAGUUUUGUAUUAAGUAAUAAUGAAUCAGGAGGAGUGUCAUGAUACAUAAAUUAGAGUAAGCGUAGAGUAAAGGGAUUUUUGAUUUUCUUGAUUUAUACUAUUUAUACUAGAUUUGUACUUGAUUUAUAGAAGUGGUAAAUUGAUAAUUCAUGUUGUUAUUUUUAAUAAAUAGAAAUAAAUAUAGAACAGAUUAAUCAUAUUGCCAAUAGACAAUUACAUUAAUACAUGGUUUGUCUAUAUUCUUAAUGAAUAUUAGCUGGUUAGUUAAAAUACUUAAAAUGACAUCAAUUUUCAUGGGGUGACUUUAUGAAUAUCCAACCGUAUUGUUGAUUAUAAAGGCUAAAAAGCUAAAAAACUAAAAUAAUUUAUAUUUCAUUGUAGAUGGAUAUACAACAUUUUUUCUUGUCGUGUGGGAGUAGGUCUGCAAAUGAGCAACAGUCAGAAAAGUCAGUGCAAAAAGUGAAUGAAGUGGAGGCAGAGAAGAUUGAUGAAGGCACAUCAGAGAAAGGGCAAGAUCAUGAUCGAGAAAAGAAGUGGAUGAACAUGGAUGGAGCUGCAAUGAUGUCCCCUGCUGCUGUGAUUACACUGCUCCUACUCCUGUUGUAGAAGCAUCCACUUAGACAACAAAUGGCUUCUCAGGGUCUGGAUGGAUGAGAAGUGGUGCUCUAGGGAAAGCCUCCUUGAGCUUCUGCAUGUCUUGUGUGGCCACUGGAGUCCAGGACAGAGACUUGGGCCUUUUAGGAGGUUUGUGAGGGAUGAGGUAAUGGAACUGAAGUUAUGGAUGAAGCAACGGUAGAAAAUGGCAAAACCUAGGAGUUCUUUAACUGUGGUAGGAAUUGGUAGGAAGUUCACAGCAAUUUUACUUAGUGCACAGUAGCUGAUGCAAGGCCGCAAACCUCUGUCCUUCUUGGCCACAAAGAAAAAAACUGGAAGUAUCAGGGGAUGUAGAAGGGUGGAUGUAGGCUUGCUUGAGAGCCUCUUCUACAUACUCCUCCAUAGCCUUAUGUUCAGGUAUGGAGAGAGGGUAGAUUUUGCCAUGGGGCACUGGCUCACACGGAAAGAGGUUGAUGGCACAGUACAAUGGUCGGUGAGGUGGUAAUUGUGAGGCUUAUUUCGUGCAAAAAAACUCACUGAAGGGUGCAUAAUAACUAGAAUAUCCAUGGAUUGCUUUUCAACAGGGCUUUCGAUGGAGGUGGUAUUCACAGGAACCGCUUGAUGCUUGGAAAUGAGAGGUUGAGGGCUUUCUGGAAGACAGCCAAGGAUGCAGCUGUUCAUCCCCAUCCCCACUUCAGGACAUUGCCACUGGACCAGAAUAGGAUGCAAUUGUGGCCCUAGUAUGUUGCCAGUGGUGGAAUUCCCCAGAACCAUGGGCGUUUUUCAAUACCAAGUACGCAAAGUUUGGACUUGCGUACUUGGUAGUUUGGACUUGCCAAGUUGAACUCAGGAGAACGAACUCCCAAGGACUGGAGGACGCAAGUCUGGUAAUUCUGCAAUUGGUACAGCAGCAUACUUGAUAGUUAUCUCUGUAUUUAUAUUUUAGGCAACAAAAAAAUGAAAUGUGUUAUAAAACACCACUCUGCCUCUUUUCACUUCCAUUUAAAAUUUUUUAAACAUAUUAAUUUUAUGUUUGGACCAGAAACAGCAGUCCCUCGAGGUGUGCCUGGUGUGCCUCACUAACUUUCCAGACAGAUCACUGUAUUCUGACCAGCUUGAACAAGGAAUGGAAGGCACACCUAUCUGGUGUGGGUCCUCGGGGGAGUUUCACCAAGUUUGUGGAGUGAGUGCUGGAGAACCAUAGAGCUAGCAACACUAUCUGAUUUUCCAAAUCCUUUCCAGUGAAGAAAAUUCCCACUCCCAGGAUUAAAGCAUUGCCAAUUACAAUGUCACAAUGCUUCAAGUGAGUGAUCUUCCCCAGUCUGCUCCAGAGUGUGAAAUUCCUGAGUCUGUUCUUGCCCUUGAGUCAGCUUCUGUGAAUGAAACACUGACCAUUAUGGCCACAGCCAUGUUGUGUGUGUGGCCUACACACACGUGGGCUUCAGCCCCUGAGUCUGCUCCAGUGUCAGCUCCAGCCCCUGAGUCCACUCCAGGCCCACCUUCCCUGGUCUUCUGAGUUGCCGGCGCCACCCUGGCCCCCUGAAAUGCCAGCACUGCCCUUGCCCCCUGAACUGUCAGAUCCGCCCUGGAUCCCUGAACUGUCGGUGCCGCCCUGGAUCCCUGUACUGUGGGUUCAGUUUGUUUGGACUUUUUGUUUGUAUUUUGAUCAGUUCCUUUGUUUAGUUUCCCGCCACUCCUUUGUUUCUAUAUUUACCAUCAUUAUGAGUUAAUUUGUCCCAGCUGUGUCUGAUUAAUUAUCUUGUUAGCUCCCCUGUUUGUCUGAGUAUUUAAACCCUAUGUUUUGUCAUGUUCAGUUGUCUGUCGUUAUCGUUGCCUUUAGGCCUGGUUGUUCUGUUUUUGUUCUGAAGAUUCCUGAUUUCUGAAGAUCCCUGAGUAUUUCUGUUCAUUUGAAUUUAUUGCAUUUGAAUUGCUAUUGCAUUGGUAUUGCUGCAUUUGAAUUCAGUUUCAUAUCUACUGCAACAAAAGCCGUGACACACAAAUGUGGUUCAGGCAACACGUACAUCUUCAAUGCGUGUAUUUAUAACACAAUAAAAUAUAAAACACAACCCUGCCUCUUUUUGUUUACAUUAUAAAAAUAUUAAAUAUAUUAAUAUGUGGUUCAGGCAAUAUGUGAAUGUACUCUUAUAAUAUUUAC